UUGGUAUGGACUAAACCAAAAACACCAAGCAACCUAAUUGAAGACUUAAUCUUCCAAUUUAACCAGAUAAGUGAAGAUCGGUGGGGGUCCCCCCAUUGCUUUUCUUAGACACCAAUAAAUUAUCCAGGUAAGCUAACGGAAUCAAUUAAAUAGCCACAUCUCAAUUACUUGCCUUAGAUACUAAUAGAUCAAUUGGUCCAA
rnacentral:lncRNA from 1 species